rnacentral:rRNA from 1 species
UGCGGCGGUCAUGGCCCAGGUGAGACGCCCGGUCCCAUUCCGAACCCGGAAGCUAAGGCCUGGCACGGCGAU